UGUCCUUGAGAAAGCUGUCCAGAGUGGCAACAGGGGGCCACUUCCUAAAGGGACAGAGGAGCCUGGGCUGGAGGAGACAUCAGCCACAGCCAUGAGAUGACCCGCCCACAGCGCCGGCCGGCACAGCCAGCACCUUGACAUCAAUGCCCCCGUGGGAGCGCUGCUGCAGAGCCCGGAAGGGGAGCUGUGGCUGGCCGGUUGCCAGGAUCAAAGGACACAACCCAGGUAAAGCGCCGUAAGCGGCAGGAGGAGCGGCCCAGUUAAAGCAGAUCCAGGCGGGGAGCCACCCACGGCAGGGUCAGCACCUGAGACGGGCCACCCCCAUUACCCUGCGGAAGUCACGUGAGUGCCAACCUAAGUCCCACCACUGCACCACAGAACUGCCAGGGCCUUUCUGGCCCAGAAGCGGGUUGGGUGGGAAUCCCGUGGGACAGCCCCUCACCAGCACAGGGGGCUGAGCACGGGGUCGGGCAGGGAGGAGCACCUACGGGAUGUUGUAGCUGGCCCAGUAGGUCUUCCGGUAGAGCUCCGAGGUCUUGUCGGCCACCACCACCAUGCCCCUGGGACCAAGAGAAGCAGGACAGGAGUGGUGAGAAGAGGGGCCCGUGGGGACCCCCUUGGUUCACCACUGCCUGGAGGUAGGUCAUGCCCUGAAUCUUGAGCCCCAGCCAGGGCUGCCAUCUCUUCCUACCUCACUUUCCUUAGAUUUCCCCUCACACGCCUCCCGCCUCUGCCUCUGUGGUUCCCUCUGCCUGGAGGGCCCAGCCCCUCCCCCCCCCCCCGGGGACUCACGGGAUCUGCUCCAGGAUGGUGAGCACCCUGCUCCCAGGACUGGGCCCGCCGGGGACGAAUGCUUUGUAGUCCACGAUCAUCCACUGGUUGUUGUACCUGCCAGACCCGAGCAGGGAGGACUGAGCAGACCCUGGGACUGCAGCCCCGGCCUCCCCCUGCCCCCAGCGCCCCACACAGCCAGGAAUCACAGGGCAUGGAUGGCCUGGGGGUGCCUGGCCAUCUGACCGUCACUCUGGAGGCUGCAGCCGGGCCAGGUGUGCUCCAGCUCUUUCAGCACAUGGCCUGCUCCAGAGGACUCUAUGGCUCCCCAGUGCCUGCCGGAGCAAAGGUCAGUUCUGCCCCAUGUCCUGAGACCCUUGCUGUCUGGUUCCGGUGUCUCUGGUGCACAGAGCCCUCCUCCACCCACGUCCAGCUCCUUGGACGGCCCUCCUCACUGUCCCCAGAGCUCUCAAGUUCCAAAGCUCUUCCUGUCCUUCCCCUGGCGGCCUUUCCCUGGGUGGAGAAGCCUGCAUGAGAGGGGUGAAUGCUUUCCCUCCCUGAGCCUCAGUUUCCCCGUGUAUCAAACAGGGGAGGCGGCUCUAAUGAGAGUCUGUGACAGCGCUCUGCAGGGGUGCGGGGUAGUGGCUCUGGUGCCACAGUAGGCCCCCCAGGGACUGAGCGUUGGGGGGGGUUGGUCCAUUUCUUGGGUGGGGAGGCCACGGUGCCCAAAGCCCACUCACGUGCCACUGUUGAAGCGCUUGAAGACAUCCGCCCAGGUGUCCCCGUCCACGGCCAAGCGGUUGGCCACAAUGUUGCGCACCCACUCCAUCACACAGUCCCCGGGCGUCACGUACUUCCACAGCGCCGGGUUCCGGUUGCCAAUGGUGGUCUCCAGUGUCACCUGUGGGGGAGCCGAGGGGACGCUGCUUGAAGGGCCAGCUGACUUAUAGCUGGGGCACGCUGCCACCAAGGGGCGGUGCUGUGUCAGCGGUAGUUCACGGAUUGACUGACAGCUUUAAAACCUUGUCUUCUGGAUCAGGGGUCCGUGCUCUCUGGUUCCCUGGAUGAGCACUGGGGGGUUCACGCUCCCAAAUCCAGCUCUGCCCUGGGGAAGGGCCCGGGGCGCUGUGCCUAUGGACUCACCCCCCAAGUCGGUCCACUCUUUCCCCAGAGACAGCAGCCCCCCCCAUCCCUGCAGUUUCCCAGGGAACAUUCGGUGACUGGAUGCUGCUAGCCCAGCAAACUACUGUGAUCUCCACGAACUCACAGCCGCCUCGGGAAAAACACAGUAUGGUUAUAAUGCACCUUCUGGCUGCAAGGUAAACUGAGGACCAGGAGCUAAGAGACUCAGCAAAGGUCAUGGCUGGUAAGUGGAUGUGCCAAGAUUCCAUCCCCAAACUUCCAGCUCUUAAAUUGGUGCUUGCUCCCCCUACAGCAGGCUAUUGGCAUGCUUCUCCCUUUUUCGUACAAAGCUGGAAAACAGUGAAAUGAAGGCAGUAGCCACAAAGGGCUGUUUGAAAGAGGACCCCUGCAAAUCGAGCGGAGCAGCCACGCCCAGGCAGGAAGAGCCUCCUGUCCUCCCUCUGCCCGCUGCACCAAGCUUCCCCAGCCACUGUCCCAGUGAGACCAGCUUGUCCCCAAAGCCCUAGGGGCAGGACAGGGGAGCUCUUCCCCGCCGGGCGAGCGGAGGUACUCAGUGAGUCUGCAGACUUGGAUGGAAAACAUUACAUUUGAACUUUAUCAAACGGCAGUUCAGCACCCCCUGCAUUGUUAACACGGGUGACACACCACAGGUAUCGGCGGCACCUGCGACUGUCCCCAACAGAAACCCAAGUUUCCCACUAUGUGACAGGGGUGCACACAGGUCAGAAUGUCAGUGAUGUUCCUCGUCGCUUCCGAGCGGUGGCAGGUGUGGCAGGUAGCACCUGCCACCCCAGCUUGUGGUUUUACGUGCUGCCAAAGCAGCACCGGUCUGUCAAGCUGACUCAGAUAACAUUUCGAUCAGUGUAUUUCGAUAUCCUUGGCCUCCUUCCGAUCCACACAUUUUGGUUCACAUACUCAGAAACAUUCUUUUGAGGGGGUGGCUCACAGGUCCCCAGACAGCCAGAGGGGUCUGUGGCACAAAACCAGGCAAGAACCCGGGUGGCAGGUAAAUGUCCCACCUGGACACUUUCCAGGUAACUGGAGUCAACAUUUGGGUUGUUCUUCCCCACUCUCCCCACCCAGGAUGGUGGCCAGGGGGUCCCCCACACCCACUGCCAGGCCUUCUCAUGCCUUUCAACAUAAGGUACUAAACCCCACGCUCCCCCAAAAAACUAACAAAAGAACUCCCCGCCCCCACCAGGAAUCUGCUCUGCUUGAGGGUUCUUUAAAUUCAUGUUCUUCCUCCUCCAGUGUUGCCCUGGAGACCGCGGGGCUUGCUGCGGGGGCAAGGGGUGCCAGGGGCAGAUUUCUAAACGAGUUUGGACCCUGGCCAGGAAAACUGAUAAAAACAACACAUUGUAAACACCAUUUAUUCAGAAAACCUGGCCAGGUUAGAGGGGGUUAUGUGGAGGGCAAGAGAGAAGGCAGUAUUUCACAGCGAGGCCAUUGCGGGGAGGGACGGCUUCUCCUAAAUACUUAAGAACAAACCGAGGUCACUGAGGUCAAGGAUAUUUCAUAAGGUCCCCAAGGCAGGCAGUUGCUGAGGAGCUGAGUUACAAUGCAGAGUCCCAGGCUGGCCACAGGUCCUGGAGGCCCAGGUGGGGCCUGGGAACCCUCGUUCAAGAAGCCCCACCCUAUGUGUGGUCUUGGAUGGGCACCAGCCUUAUCAGGUGAUCCCUUUAUAAGGUCAAUAAAUGUUUAACCACUAUGGUGUACACCUGAAACUAAUAUAAUAAUGUAUGUCAACUGUAACUAAUUAAAAAAAAUAAGCCCCACCCAGUGGCCCAAGCAUCACGAGAAAACAUGCCUCGGCCCACGGGCCCGCCGGGGCUGCCAGGUGAGGAGCGGCCUGGGGAGAACGGCAACCAACACGAGAGGGGGACUCACCAGCCCGCUGCCCAGGAUGUAGAAGUCGUCACAGGAGAAGAUGGUGCCGGGGCCCCCAGGACUCAUUCAUCUUCUCGCUGGAAGCCGGUGCUCCCUGGCCAGCAUCUCCCUUUUCCCAGCCCCUGGCGACCACCGUACUACUCCCUGCUCCUGCGACCUCGGCUUGUUCACAUCCUACAGGUAAGUGGCAUCUGCGGUAUUUGUCUGUUUGCAUCUGGCUUAUUUCAUUGAUCUCGUGCCCUGGAGGUCCAGCUGUGUGGUGGCAAAUGGAAGGAUUUCCUUCUUUUUUUUAAGGCUACAUAACAUGCAAGUGUGUAAGUGUGUGUGUGUGUGUGUGUGUGUGUGUGUGUGUGUGUGUGAAUGAAUGAGUGUGUGAAUUCCUUUAUCCGUCCACCCGCCCAUGGAUACGUAGGUUGUUCCCGUAUCUGAGCUAUUGUGAAUGAGGCUGCAAUGAACAGGGGAGAGCAGGUGUCGAUCUGAGGUCCUGAUCUCAUUCCUUUCGAAUAAACACCCUGAAGUGGGAUUGCUGGGUCACAGAAGAGCGUGGGCUUUGGAGGGAGGAGACCUGGGUAGAAUCCCAGCUCAGUCUCAAUUUAUUAAUUCUUUGGCCCACAGCAAGCUCCUAAACCUUUCUGAGCCUCAGUCCCCUUAUCUGGGACAGAGGGAACUUUCUUGGGUGAGAGAAAUGUUCUCUGUCAUUACUGAAUGGCCGUGACAAGACUGUACAUGUUUGUCCAAACCCAUCAAAUUAUCCACUCUACAAUGUGUAUGUAAGCUAUCCAUCAAUAAAAUUAACCCCCCCAAAAAAUCAAACUUAGUCUGAAAUGUCAUUUAUCACCCACUAAAAUGGCAAAAACUUCAAGUGAACCAUAACACCCAGUGCUGGCAAACUUGCGGUGAAAAUCGACACCCUCAGAGACUAGCCGGGGAAGCUCAAACUGGCCCAUCCGACCCUGGAGGCAAUUUGGCUGUAUUUCUCCAGAGACCGUAACUUUAAUUGUGCCCAUCUUUUCACCCAGCCCUUCCACGAGGAAACAUCUCUGGGGGCGGGGGCGGGGUGGGGAGCACUCAUGUUCGCUGCAGCAUUGUUCCAAAUAGCAAAUCCCUGGAAACGACCCCAAACCUCAACUGGGGGUGCGUUAAGCUGAACAUGUAGCUGUUAAAAUGUGGACCGAAGGGUAUCAUGGGAGAUGCGUCUCCUCACCUGUGAGACUGGAAGGUAGUCACAUAUUACCGUGCAAUACAAAUGAAAGCGAAUGGAAAAUUGAGGUACUUUCUAAAAAGAAGUCUAGAGAAAACAUACGCAAGUGUUCAGAGAACUGAUCUCUCGCGGGGUGUCGGGUGUUUGAGUGAUUCUCACUGCGUGCAAGUGUUUUGCUGUAGCUUCCAAUUUCCUGUCACAGGCGUGUAAGACUUACGUGGGUUUUUUGCAAAGAUACCAAAAUGUUCACGGGAAUGCAGCAAUGCGGGUGAGAGACCUGCAGCUGCAGCCACAGGCAUGGCCGUGGGCUGUCGCAGAUGCCCCGCUGAGCGGACACAGACGUGCACAGUCUGGGUGCUCCGAGCACAACCGGGCAAACCUACUCUGUGUGGUAAGAAGUCGGGACAGGCAGGAUGCUGGACCGGCAACAGUACCUGGCACGGGACGGGGGGAGAAGCUUCUGGAGACUGGGAAUGCUCUGCUCCUCACACCAGGCGCCACGCACAGGCCUGUGCUCACCGUGCACAAAUUCCAGCUACACCCUUAGGAUGUGCGCGCCUUCCGGUAUAAAUGUCAGUCGGGAGGUUUACUUAAGAUUUAAAUGAAGGGGCAUCAGGUUGUCUUCAAACCACCACUGCAGGUGACAUCCUUGUCCACGCUCCCUGUGCAGAAUUGCUACGUUUCUGUACAGACAGAUCUGAGCUACAGAACCGCUGGUCAUGGGAGUGACAGCUUGCAAAUUGUGUCGGAUGCUGGCUGGGUUCCUCUUCAAAGUGGCCAUGCCAAGCCCUAGUCACAUUAGCACUGACUGAGGGUGUACAUUUCCCCACCUUCUCGCCACCUCCUGGCAAUGGAAGACUGUUUUCUGAUGUGAUCCAUCGGCCAAGCCACCUCCCUCAUGUGCAAGCAAAACAAUGUGUUGACAAUGAACUAUAGCGAUUCUUUGACUGUAUGGGGCAGAAUGGGCUGGAGAGACAGGCAGGUCAGGAUGG